rnacentral:rRNA from 1 species
GUGCCAGCAGCCGCGGUAAUACGUAGGUGGCAAGCGUUAUCCGGAAUUAUUGGGCGUGAAGGGAGCGCAGGCGGCUUAUUAAGUCUGAGGUUAAAGUUCGGGGCUCAACCCCGUGAUGCCUUAGAAACUGCUAGGCUAGAGUGCAGGAGAGGUGAGUGGAAUUCCAUGUGUAGCGGUAAAAAUGCGUAGAUAUAUGGAGGAACACCAGUGGCGAAGGCGGCUCACUGGCCUGUAACUGACGCUGAGGCUCGAAAGCGUGGGGAGCAAAUAGGAUUAGAUACCCUAGUAGUCC